rnacentral:rRNA from 1 species
UCCGUAGGUGAACCUGCGGAGGGAUCAUUAUCGAGUCACCACUCCCAAACCCCCUGCGAACACCACAGCAGUUGCCUCGGCGGGACCGCCCCGGCGCCCCAGGGCCCGGACCAGGGCGCCCGCCGGAGGACCCCCAGACCCUCCUGUCGCAGCGGCAUCUCUCAGUCAAGAAGCAAGCAAAUGAAUCAAAACUUUCAACAACGGAUCUCUUGGCUCUCGCAUCGAUGAAGAACGCAGCGAAAUGCGAUACGUAAUGUGAAUUGCAGAAUUCAGUGAAUCAUCGAAUCUUUGAACGCAUAUUGCGCUCUUUGGUAUUCCGAAGAGCAUGCUUGUUUGAGUAUCAGUAAACACCUCAAAGCUUUUGGAUUUUUUAAUCGAAAAGCUCUGGACUUGAGCAAUCCCAACACCAAUCUUUUUGAGAUCGGUGGCGGGUUGCUUGAAAUGCAGGUGCAGCUGGACAUUCUCCUGAGCUAAAAGCAUAUUCAUUUAGUCCCGUCAAACGGAUUAUUACUUUUGCUGCAGCUAACAUAAAGGGAGUUUGACCGUAUUGGCUGACUGAUGCAGGAUUUCACAAGGGUCAGCAACGAUUCUUGUUAAACUCGAUCUCAAAUCAAGUAAGACUACCCGCUGAACUUAAGCAUAUCAAUAAGCGGAGG